rnacentral:lncRNA from 1 species
UGUCCGAGCCCUGGAGCCCUGGAAAGUUCCAGAACAGCGGUGAGCUGAGGACCAGGGGCACGAGGGGCCGGCCAUGGAACCACACACAUUCCGCGAAGCAGCCCUGGCCCCGGAGGAGAACCAGCUUUGCACGGGGGAUGAUUUUCGAGGGGAAGUGCCACACGGAGCCAAAUACCCAAACGGGGGACGGAAGACGGGGAUCUUCGGAUGUUAUCAAACGUGUGCAAAGGUCUUCGAGAGUUUUCCCCCAUCCACCAGUGCCGGGCCUCCAUACAGAUCCUCACGUGGAUGCAUGUGCAGUCCUGCGCACCGUAUACUUUUGUUGCAGUCAUUAAAAAUUCUUUUCCAUCAUCCUUUUUUUUAAAAUUUUUAUUGAUUUAUGAUAGUCACAGAGAGAGAAAGAGAGAGGCAGAGACACAGGCAGACGGAGAAGCAGGCUCCAUGCACCGGGAGCCCGACGUGGGAUUCGAUCCCAGGUCUCCAGGAUCGCGCCCUGAGCCAAAGGCAGGCGCUAAACCGCUGCGCCACCCAGGGAUCCCUCCAUCAUACUUUUUGAUACCAGCCCUGAGAUUUCUCACAUUUACCCGCGUCUGACCACCGUAUCUCAUUACUAAUUUCCAACACGCUCCCUUGGGCUUUGUAGGUAAAGAAUCUCAAGACCUUCUUGGGUAAAUGUAAGGAUUGGAGAUAAUUUUCGUCAUCACCUUGGCACAGAGGCCAGAAUAUACAUUUCAUUGUAGCUGUUAUUUACACUAAGUAAUUGUGAUAAUAUUGGGCAUUUUAAGGAAAAAAGCUCCUUGCUUAUUUGUUUUUUAAGAAUGAAUUUCUUGUAUUAGUCCAACAUUAAGUUUUUCCAUGAUGGUUUGCAACUGAUUUUUUUAAACCCGAUUUUUAUAUAAAUAGAAGAUUUUUCCCCUUAAGUAGAUGCUGGAUUUUAUUAUAAAGCAGUUUUAUGAUCUCUAUAAAUAAUGUUUUUCUUCGAUCAAGGGUUGUGAUGAAUUUUGAGGAUGCAUAUAUUAGUAUUAAACUAUCCUUGUAUUUUUAUGUAAAUACUGCUUCAUCGGGGGAUCCCUGGGUGGCGCAGCGGUUCGGCACCUGCCUUUGGCCCAGGGU